rnacentral:lncRNA from 1 species
UAAGCUCCUGGCUCCGCUCUAGACCUCAGCGGUUCUGGCUGCCAGCCUGGGCAGCCUGGGAAGCCUGGGAGGACGGUGGCUUGCCGGUCUGUCGUGAGGCAGUGCGGACGGGGACCCUCUGGGAUUCUGCUGGAUCUGCCCCGGGGGUUACCUUUGGGGGCUGGGACCCCAGUCGAGGGGACACAACCGUCCCUGGCAGUGGUUGGUUCUGCUUCUCCCUGCAGAAAAGCAGCAUUUUCGGAAGCUGAAGAAUAAGCUAGCCCAGCCACACCACCUUGUUGUGUGACCUUGGGCAGGUGGUUCUGUCUCUCUGAGCCUCUGUUUCUCUCUGAGCUGAGCAGCCACCAUGGCUGACGGUCAGAUGCCCUUCUCCUGCCACUACCCAAGCCGCCUGCGCCGAGACCCCUUCCGGGACUCUCCCCUCUCCUCUCGCCUGCUGGAUGAUGGCUUUGGCAUGGACCCCUUCCCAGACGACUUGACAGCCUCUUGGCCCGACUGGGCUCUGCCUCGUCUCUCCUCCGCCUGGCCAGGCACCCUAAGGUCGGGCAUGGUGCCCCGGGGCCCCACUGCCACCGCCAGGUUUGGGGUGCCUGCCGAGGGCAGGACCCCCCCACCCUUCCCUGGGGAGCCCUGGAAAGUGUGUGUGAAUGUGCACAGCUUCAAGCCAGAGGAGUUGAUGGUGAAGACCAAAGAUGGAUACGUGGAGGUGUCUGGUAAGCAAACAUGAAGAGAAACAGCAAGAAGGUGGCAUUGUUUCUAAGAACUUCACAAAGAAAAUCCAGCUUCCUGCAGAGGUGGAUCCUGUGACAGUAUUUGCCUCACUUUCCCCAGAGGGUCUGCUGAUCAUCGAAGCUCCCCAGGUCCCUCCUUACUCAACAUUUGGAGAGAGCAGUUUCAACAACGAGCUUCCCCAGGACAGCCAGGAAGUCACCUGUACCUGAGAUGCCAGUACUGGCCCAUCCUUGUUUUGUCCCCAACCCUAGGGCUUCUCUGAUUCCAGGAUACAUUACUUUAGCUGAACUCAGAUUUAGUGCAAGUAAAAUGUUAGAGGGUGCGGGGGUGAGGACUGACCACAGAUUCCCUGGAUAGUGUAGUGGUAGAUUUCUCCACAGGAUAGCGCAAUUGGCAAAUCAUGCUUGGUUGUGUUAGGCCAAAAUACUAGUUUUGCUUUCUUUACCUUUUCUAUCUUGAUGAAAAUGUUGCACAUUCUAUAGUUGCAAAACACAUAAAAGGGGACUUAACAUUUCACGUUGUAUCUUACUUGCAGUGAAUGCAAGGGUUACUUUUCUCUGGGGACCUCCCCCAUCACCCAGGUUCCUACUCUGGGCUCCCGAUUCCCAUGGCUCCCAAACCAUGCCGCAUGGUUUGGUUAAUGAAACCCAGUAGCUAACCCCACUGUGCUUCCACAUGCCUGGCCUAAAAUGGGUGAUAUACAGGUCUUAUAUCCCCAUAUGGAAUUUAUCCAUCAACCACAUAAAAACAAACAGUGCCUUCUGCCCUCUGCCCAGAUGUGUCCAGCACGUUCUCAAAGUUUCCACAUUAGCACUCCCUAAGGACGCUGGGAGCCUGUCAGUUUAUGAUCUGACCUAGGUCCCCCCUUUCUUCUGUCCCCUGUGUUUAAGUCGGGAUUUUUACAGAGGGAGCUGUCUCCAGACAGCUCCAUCAGGAACCAAGCAAAGGCCAGAUAGCCUGACAGAUAGGCUAGUGGUAUUGUGUAUAUGGGCGGGACGUGUGUGUCAUUAUUAUUUGAGUUAUGCUGUUGUUUAGGGGUAAAUAACAGUAAAUAAUUAAUAAUAAUAAUAAUAAUAAUAAAGGAGCUGACGUU